UACGUAGGGGGCAAGCGUUGUCCGGAAUCAUUGGGCGUAAAGAGCGUGUAGGCGGCUCGAUAAGUCUGCUGUGAAAGUCCAGGGCUCAACCCUGGAAGGCCGGUGGAAACUGUCGGGCUAGAGUCCGGAAGAGGCGAGUGGAAUUCCUGGUGUAGCGGUGAAAUGCGCAGAUAUCAGGAAGAACACCCGUGGCUAAGGCGGCUCUCUAGUACGGUACUGACGCUGAGACGCGAAAGCGUGGGGAGCGAACAGG
rnacentral:rRNA from 1 species